rfam:Schistosoma haematobium scaffold57_21, whole genome shotgun sequence.
AUCCGAAUGACGAGUCCCAAACAGGACGAAACGCGCACACUGGAU